CUAGAAUUCUCAUUGGAAGAAAUGACAGGAAAGCUCCCUCCAAUAUCUCAAUUUCCACCCCACUCAGUACCUGGUUUUAUGAUUCCACACCCUCCUAAUCCAUCCUGCCCUCCUAACACAUCCCACUCUCGUAAGCCAUCCCACUCUCGUGCCCGCGAAUCCCUCCCUCUUCUUCCAUCUGCCAAGCCCCUUCCUCCUCUCCAGAAGUACGUGGAUUUUUCAGUUUUCUGCCCUAACUGUUAUCCCACUGUGGCUCAUACCUGCCCUCCCCACUACCCUACCCUAAUACUCUACCUGCACUGCUCUUCUGCUAUUCAUUACAAACCAUCCAUUUGUCAAUGCUCUAGUCCCAGAACUCUUUCUGGUAACUCCCUUAUCGAUCACCCUAGCCCUCCUUCUAGCCCUACUGGUCAACGCUUGGGUCCCAGAACUCUUCCCUGUGAUUCCCUUAUCCGUUCUCCUGUUCCUCCUCCUAGCCCUCCUUGCCAACGCUCUGGUCCCAGAACUCUUUUCUGUGACUACCCUGUCUGUCCCCCUACUCCUCCUCCCAGCCCUACUUGCAAAUGCUGUCGUCCCAGAGCUGUUUCCUGGGACUCCUCUACCUAUGCCUCUACCCCUCCUCCUUAGCCCUACUUCUUUCUAGUACCCUGUACUCUAGUCCCCAGCCCCCAGCCCUGCCAUCCCCAACCAGACCUUAUGGUUCACAAGUCUCAUCUUGGAGAUGGUUUCCCUGCUCCCGGGGCAGUUCUGGAACAGUUCAGGAUGGCCAGGACUGUGGAUUCCCAGCAGUCUGACCUCGUGGACAAAGGAAAUGCAAGACGAUGGCAAACCAGCAUUCAGCCUCACCAGCCUGCAUGAGCCUCUACAUUUGUUCCUGGCUUCUCCAUGGAACUCGGUCUACAGCCACAAAGCAAACCACAGGGCCAGUGACAGAGAAGGCAGAGGGGAGUGUGGAGUGGGAAGCACCUAACCUGUUCUCAAGGAGGGGAAUGAUUGGCCAAGAUGAGUUUCAAUCGUAUGUCCACUACCUCCUGGCCUGCCACUUGGCUGUGAGUCCUUUCUGGGCGGUGUCCAGGGGCGGUUCCAGUGAUCAGGCAGGUGCUGAGAAGCACAGGCAGCAGGAUGAGGGGAUACUUGCCAGGAGACAGCAUGGGAUGCCAUUGCCUAGAGUUGGCAGAAGGACCAGGAGCAGGCAGGCAGCGAGAGAACACCCAGAGUGCUCCUGAUCGGACCAAGCUGCAUGGAGGCCACAAUGGGACACCUGAGGGAAAAGGUGACCCCAGAUGAGGUCCAUCGGAACCAGAUAUUGUGGGAACUGUCAAACCAGACCAAGAAGUAUGGAGGCCACAGAGGGACACCCCAGGGAGGUGACCCUGGAUGAGGUUCAUCAGAACUAGAUCUUGUGAGAACUACCUGACCAGACCAAGCAGCACAGAGGCCACGGUGAGACACCUGAGGGAGAAGGCGAACCCAGAUAAGGCUCAUCGGGUUCCGAUCUUGUGAGAACUGCAGAAGGCGACCACAGAUGAGGCUCAUCAGAACUAGAUCUUGUGAGAACUGCCUGAGCAGACCAAGCAGCACAGAGGCCACAGUGAGACACAUGAGGGAGAAGGUGAACCCAGAUGAGGCUCAUCAGGAACAGAUCUUGUGGGAACCAGAGAGGACAACCCCGGAUGAGGUCCAUCAGAACCAGAUCUUGUGGGAACUGCACUUCAAAGUGCUACAGACCCACAAACACUACAUGCAGCAUCACAUGAAUGCCCUCUGCAAGGGUGAGGGGCCUGGCAGGAUGGAGGAAAUACCAGAGAGGGGGGAUGCGCCCUGAAAAAAAGGAGAGCCCUGGGGACUGCGGAAGGUGGAGUGUGCGUCUCAUUAAAGGAGAAGAUACCUUCUCACACCCUACCUCCUUUUAUAGACUUUAGGAGCAAUGUCUUUG
rnacentral:lncRNA from 1 species